rnacentral:pre_miRNA from 1 species
AGGCUUUGAUGGGUGUCAAUUUUUCGACUAAUUGCCAAAGAUGAAUGAGGCAGAAAUAUUGCACUCGUCCCGGCCUGU